AACAAAUAGAACAAAUGGAUUCAAAUCAACUAAUAAAUGUUUUUAUUGAAACUAAAGUGUUGUGUUUAUAUGAAAAAAUAAACUGUGUAUAAAAAAAGAGUUACCGACAUCAGAGUGUGGCCAUGGAUUUGGCCAUCACAUGCACACUGAACUUG